rnacentral:rRNA from 1 species
UACGUAGGUGGCAAGCGUUGUCCGGAUUUAUUGGGCUUAAAGGGCGCGUAGGCGGCCUUUUAAGUCAGUGCUGAAAUAUCCCGGCUUAACCGGGAGGGUGGCAUUGAUACUGUAGGGCUUGAGUACAGAUGAGGUAGGCGGAAUUGACGGUGUAGCGGUGAAAUGCAUAGAUAUCGUCAAGAACACCGAUAGCGAAGGCAGCUUACUGGGCUGUAACUGACGCUGAUGCACGAAAGUGUGGGGAUCAAACAGG